AAAAGACAAACAGCCACGAAGGAUGUAGUUGUUGAAUUGGCUGUGUACACAGACAAAGACUUUACGGAACUACUACACCAGAAAGAAACCGCUAGGAGAAUUGAACUUAUGAUCUUGAAAUACAAUGGGGUGCAGUUUGAAUUUUCUCGGCCUGAACUCGGUUACAACGUAAAACUACAAAUUAAAUAUCUGAGUUUUUGGGAGACAGACCCGCCUUCUUACAACAACUCGUUCUAUGUUCACGUUGCACUGCAUACAUUUUGUGAAGGAGUCUAUGACAAUCCAAUUAAAUACGACAUCCUAUAUCUUCAUAGUGGG